rnacentral:rRNA from 1 species
UACAGAGGCCUCGAGCGUUAGGCGGAAUCACUGGGCUUAAAGCGUGUGUAGGCGGACUUCUAAGUACCUUGUGAAAUCCCACGGCUUACCCGUGGAACUGCUCGGUAUACUGGUUGUCUUGAGCCACCUAGGGGCGAGUGGAACAAAUGGUGGAGCGGUGAAUGACGUAGAUAUCAUUUGGAACGCCAAUGGUGAAAACAACUCGCUGGGGGUGUGCUGACGCUGGAGAACACGAAAGCCCAGGGGAGCGAACGGG